AUCAUCACAGAGACGUAAAUUACGUGCUGUUAGUUGAACGUCUCUCGUAGCGGCUGGACUGAUAACUAACCAAAUAUUUUUGCUCUCUUUUACCACAAAGACUCUUAAGAAGGGAACAUCAGGCCAAUCUGCUGCUGUCCAGAAUCAGGUGGUUUGUCUUCGUCUGGCAUCUCAGCUGAGACCUGUCCACUAUGGGAGACCCUACCAGUAGUUGUGAAGUACCAGUGGCGUAGCUCUCAGCAUCACUGAUGCACACAAGCCCUCACAGCACGUCAAGCUGCAAACCAUGUGAGGGACCCUAACCUACUCUAACCCAACUGUUCAAAUCAACUGCAAAUCAACUAACCACUCAUAACUAACAACCACGCAUAACACAUAACUAACAGCCACGUAGCGAAGCACAAAAAACACUUGGAGGAGGCCAGCAACCGCAAAACAACAUCCUAACAACCGCACAGAGAACCUUGACAGAACCAUGUGAAUGCAUAAAAAACACUCAAAACAUCAUGAAAACCAUAUAGCAAAGUGCAAAAAAAAAA